AACGAACGCUGGCGGCAGGCUUAACACAUGCAAGUCGAGCGCCCCGCAAGGGGAGCGGCAGACGGGUGAGUAACGCGUGGGAAUCUACCCAUCUCUACGGAAUAACACAUGGAAACGUGUGCUAAUACCGUAUACGUCCUUCGGGAGAAAGAUUUAUCGGAGAUGGAUGAGCCCGCGUUGGAUUAGCUAGUUGGUGGGGUAAAGGCCUACCAAGGCGACGAUCCAUAGCUGGUCUGAGAGGAUGAUCAGCCACACUGGGACUGCGACACGGCCCAGACUCCUACGGGAGGCAGCAGUGGGGAAUAUUGGACAAUGGGCGCAAGCCUGAUCCAGCCAUGCCGCGUGAGUGAUGAAGGCCCUAGGGUUGUAAAGCUCUUUCACCGGUGAAGAUAAUGACGGUAACCGGAGAAGAAGCCCCGGCUAACUUCGUGCCAGCAGCCGCCGUAACAC
rnacentral:rRNA from 1 species